CAGGGCUGCUAUCUGUGAUCUCUCCUUUGGUGUCUCUGCAAGCAUGGCUGAAAGAGAGGAGAGCUAUGUGUCAGAGAAAGCAAUAGAGCAAAAAUGACAACGACCUUGGAAGAAAUAUUUUGAAUUCUCAAGAUGUUCCUUUCCUCUUUGAUAUAUUUUUAAGAAGGCAUUGAAACAAGAAUCGACUUAUCCUGUUUACCCAUAGGAACACAGUGGAAACUUUUUUGAAACUCAAGUUCUUCAUAAUACCAUUAAGGAAGGAUUUUGGAUGAACGGUAACCUGGAACCAACACAGACCACACAUGGAGAAAUUGCUCACUCUUCUAAGUUUCAGACUGUGUAUUAUACCUUAGCAAAAACAAUGGCAAAAAUAGAAUUCUACAUUAGAGACACAGGAAGAUAUACAAGCAACAUUC
rnacentral:lncRNA from 1 species